rnacentral:rRNA from 1 species
UGGGGAAUUUUGGACAAUGGGGGAAACCCUGAUCCAGCCAUCCCGCGUGUGCGAUGAAGGCCUUCGGGUUGUAAAGCACUUUUGGCAGGAAAGAAACGUCGCGGGUUAAUACCCCGCGAAACUGACGGUACCUGCAGAAUAAGCACCGGCUAACUACGUGCCAGCAGCCGCGGUAAUACGUAGGGUGCAAGCGUUAGUCGGAAUUACUGGGCGUAAAGCGUGCGCAGGCGGUUCGGAAAGAAAGAUGUGAAAUCCCAGAGCUUAACUUUGGAACUGCAUUUUUAACUACCGGGCUAGAGUGUGUCAGAGGGAGGUGGAAUUCCGCGUGUAGCAUGAAAUGCGUAGAUAUGCGGAGGAACACCGAUGGCGAAGGCAGCCUCCUGGGAUAACACUGACGCUCAUGCACGAAAGCGUGGGGAGCAAACAGGAUUAGAUACCCUGGUAGUCCACGCCCUAAACGAUGUCAACUAGCUGUUGGGGCCUUCGGGCCUUGGUAGCGCAGCUAACGCGUGAAGUUGACCGCCUGGGGAGUACGGUUGCAAGAUUAAAACUCAAAGGAAUUGACGGGGUCAUAGCUGUUUCCU